rnacentral:rRNA from 1 species
CGGGACGGGUGAGUAAUGUCUGGGAAACUGCCUGAUGGAGGGGGAUAACUACUGGAAACGGUAGCUAAUACCGCAUAACGUCGCAAGACCAAAGAGGGGGACCUUCGGGCCUCUUGCCAUCGGAUGUGCCCAGAUGGGAUUGGCUAGUAGGUGGGGUAACGGCUCACCUAGGCGACGAUCCCUAGCUGGUCUGAGAGGAUGACCAGCCACACUGGAACUGAGACACGGUCCAG